GAUAAUAGUAGGGUCCUGGUGAAGACUAAAUGAGACACUGUGUGUAAAGGGCCUGCUGCAUGGCCCUUAGUCAGCGUUGCUUGCGACGACGGUUGUUUCGUUAUUGUCACUCAGUCGCCUGAGGGGAACAUUCAGAGAGACUUAUCGGCAGGACGUGUACAAAGAGGACAGAAGAGCAGAUGCAGCCUCCAAGAAUGAGCUGCUGAGGACGAGAGAUGACAUUUUCCUUUGGCGACAUUCAACAGCUUCUUAAGGUUCCUAGACGUAGAUCUGCAGCUGUGGACUUGGAGUUUUAACCUAAGUCAAUGAGCACUUAUGGGCCUCUAAGUGGGGAAUGAACUUGGAAAACACUGAACCUAGUGUGCAGCACAUAGUAGGUACUCAUCUGCAAGCUACCUCCCUUUCUCCCUCCCUCUCUCCCUCCUCACCCUCUUCCUCAGGGAUGCAGCCAAUGACCUGAAAGAGCGUGAGCCAACGUCUGUCCAAGCUCUGGUCCUGCUUCGUGCCUGCCCUGUGAUACUGGGCAAGUUGCUCAUCCCUGGACUUCUUUCUCCUCCAUAAAACACGGCUUUGGGAGCAACUUGCUCUCCAAGGGCCAUUCCAACUCUAACAUUAUAAUUUUAUCAUAUGGGAUUUGGCAUAAUUGGUUAUCUCUGAACACUUACACUUUUUUUUUUUUUUUGAGAUGGAUUCUUGCUCUGUUGCCCAGGCUGGAGUGCAGUGGUGCAAUCUCAGCUCACUGCAAGCCCCACCUCCCGGGUUCACGCCAUUCUCCUGCCUCAGCUUCCCGAGUAGCUGGGACUACAGGCGCCCUCCACCAGGCCCAGCUAAUUUUUUUUUGUAUUUUUAGUAGAGACAGGGUUUCACCAUGUUAGCCAGGAUGGUCUUGAUCUCCUGACCUCGUGAUCCGCCCACCUCGGCCUCCCAAAGUGCUGGAACACUUAUACUUUUAAGGUAUUUGUACACAUACACGAAGCAAAACAAGAGGCAGGAGGUGCAAACAGCCCCACGAACAAAUGGUCCAGGGUGUUUAGGAGAAACCCCGCACCUUGAACCUCUCUUCUCACCCAACCUGCUUUCCAGACCUUCCUUCCCUCCUGGCUAAAUGCCCUGUAGAAGCACUAAUGUGUCUAUGUGCCUCUGGAAGCCAGGCUUUCCCUGGAAGCACAGCUGUAGUAGCUGACUACUCAUAAGACCCUAACUAUGCUGAUGUUGAUGGAAAGGGCUGAAUUCUUUGAAGCCUCAUGGUGGAAAUUUAAAGAAAAUAAUGUGAGAGCGUCACAGACAACUGCACAUUCACCACCACAAAUGGUGCCAUCCCAGAGACAAAUAUGUAAUAGUUCAGAACUUGGGAAAAUGGCCCAGGAUCGAGCCAUGCUAAGAAUGGGAGCAAUUUGGCUGAUACAUGGCUGCCCUGUGCUCCAGCAGGGGAAAAAAAAGGUUCUAAUUACCCAGCCGCAAUCCUGUAUUUAGAUGUAAAAGGGAGGAAAUAGCUGAGCUCUGUUCUAGUCACAGAUAUGCCAAACGGGUCAAGAGAAAAGCCUUCUGCCCAGACCACUGCUGAGCCCACGGCUGGCCUGGGCCCAGGCUACUCAGCCGAUGAGCUUCAGAUGGACCUCCAGAAGGCCACAGCGGCCCCACUUUAUCCUCUGCCUAUUUUGCCAGGACAUCAGCCUCAGACAAUUUCCUCCUCAAAGUUUCUUCACUCUCUUUGGUGUUCUGUUUCAUGCAAAUCUGUUGGGGAUGGGAGGAAUUAAGGACAGCGAGAUCAAAUGACAACCCCUGCCUCCUCAGUGAUUAAAAAAAAUCAGAGCUCACCCAUAUGGCAGCGGCAUUUCUGACCUGGUCCAGCAUUCCUCCCUCACCCUGUGCUUUCUGAAACUCUCAUGCAUCUUCCGAAUGUCACCUGCUGCCAUGAGGUCAGCAUGGACGAGGGUCAGCGUGGAUCUCCAGUUCUACUAGGCUGCCAAAGUAGCAGAGACAAGCUUCAAUCCGAAGAUAUUUACGACCUGACAAAUACCCCAUCUCAAGAACUUACAGAAACCUCAGCAUGGACAGCCUGGAGUGAAAGGAUGCUUACUUCCUAGGAAGGGCAUUUCUGCUUGGGAAAUGCUCAGCUGUGCCUCAGUUUCCCUUAGUCUUCCUCUGAGCUGCAGGUAAUUGAGACUGAGAGGCUUUCCACACUUCCCAGAAGGGGCAGACUUGAUGGUGCUUCCUAUCUCCACGCAAGAGCAACUAUUGUGGAUCCUCACCUCCGACAGUGCUGAUGGAAACACCCACAACUGCUCGCAGCGGGUCUGGGCUUUCCUAGUCAAUCAUUUUACUUUCAGGGCGUAGAGGUAGGAGAAUGAAACAGAUUGCACAGCACUGGUGAAAAGAAAAGGAGAAAUUCAGGGAGGAGGAAUGAGGGAUCCUCUUUCUUGUGUGUGGGUGUUAGCUUGCCUCCCAACCACACUGACACUUGCUGUGCCAUUGAUUUGACUUUUCUCCUAUCUUAACAAUAACAAAUCAUUAAAAAAU
rnacentral:lncRNA from 1 species